rnacentral:rRNA from 1 species
UACGAAGGGGGCUAGCGUUGCUCGGAAUCACUGGGCGUAAAGGGUGCGUAGGCGGGUCUUUAAGUCAGGGGUGAAAUCCUGGAGCUCAACUCCAGAACUGCCUUUGAUACUGAGGAUCUUGAGUUCGGGAGAGGUGAGUGGAACUGCGAGUGUAGAGGUGAAAUUCGUAGAUAUUCGCAAGAACACCAGUGGCGAAGGCGGCUCACUGGCCCGAUACUGACGCUGUGGCGCGAAAGCUAGGGGAGCAAACGGG